UAGAGUUUGAUCCUGGCUCAGGACGAACGCUGGCGGCGUGCUUAACACAUGCAAGUCGAGCGGUAAGGCCCUUCGGGGUACACGAGCGGCGAACGGGUGAGUAACACGUGAGUAACCUGCCCUCAGCUUUGGGAUAACCCUCGGAAACGGGGGCUAAUACCGGAUAUGACCCACUAUCGCAUGGUGUGUGGGUGGAAAGUUUUUCGGCUGGGGAUGGGCUCGCGGCCUAUCAGCUUGUUGGUGGGGUGAUGGCCUACCAAGGCGACGACGGGUAGCCGGCCUGAGAGGGCGACCGGCCACACUGGGACUGAGACACGGCCCAGACUCCUACGGGAGGCAGCAGUGGGGAAUAUUGGACAAUGGGCGCAAGCCUGAUCCAGCCAUGCCGCGUGAGUGACGAAGGUCUUCGGAUUGUAAAGCUCUUUUGGCGGGGACGAUAAUGACGGUACCCGCAGAAUAAGCCCCGGCUAACUUCGUGCCAGCAGCCCCGGUCAA
rnacentral:rRNA from 1 species